UCUUAGAGGAGCUUAUAAUGGAAGGGCGGGGGUGAUGUGAGGUAAAGACUGAACACAUUAGAGGUGCAGUUAAAGCUAAAAGAUGUGUAAGACUUAAAAAAAAAAAAAAAAAAAAAAAACCUUAAAGGGCGUGUUGGUUCUAAUUUUGCAGUCUUGAUUUAUGAGCUUGACAAUACCUGAAAUGUAAUGUUUUAAAUGACAAGCUUUCAAGUAAAUGAAGUCUAGCAGAAGUUCAAAAGCGCAUUAAAAAUGACUAAAUUGCUAGUAAUAAUACUUUCAUUUAGUGCAGUGCUUUGGCAGCAGCACAGAUUUACAUUCCAACAGCGCUCUCUGUGCUUGUUAAACCAAGAGUCCAGUCUCUACUGCGGCUGAAAAGGUCGACAUCAGCUUUGACGAGAGCAGCCACCUUUGCAGAACUGAUGGGCCGUGAGAGGCUGCGUUUAGCUAACACUGCAUGUUUUAACCUGCUCUACGUGUCCUUGAGCUGUUAGCCUUGCAUUCGGCUGACAUCAGAACUCCAGCAGCCACCAUGCAGUAAUUAAGCCCCAACAUCAUCUAUUCUGACUCAUCAGUGCCAAAAGUAAAAGCUCCUCUUCAGCAGGUAAUGAGGAAGACCCUGAGAGGGCUCCAGGGGGGCCCUAGAUGUCUUGCAAAAUGCUUUCCUGAGACUUUUUUGCAUAAUAUUCAGCUCUCUUGGCAGAAAUAGGGAUUUUGUGUAAGAAUUUUCAAGGUCCAAUCUUGCUUCUGGUAACCCACAGUGAGGGGUGCUGAAGGACGAUAGUUCUCCACUGAGCUGCAUUUGAAGGCUGAUCUCCUUUCUCCCCCUUCGUUAAAGGAGAUCUGCAGUGGAGAAAAAAGGACACUCAGAAUAAGCUGUUCCCUUAAAAGUAGGAGGUGUGCAAGCAGAGGAGGUAAAAGUGGGGUGAAGUCCUCUGUCACAGAGGCCAGCGCACAGUCACGGAGAUGUUCCUGCUGUUACAUAACCCCCUCCACAGGCCCUGACCUCUGACCCC